rnacentral:rRNA from 1 species
GAUGAACGCUGGCGGCGUGCUUAACACAUGCAAGUCGAACGUGAAGAAGCAGCAAUGUUUCUGAAAGUGGCGGACGGGUGAGUAACACGUGGGUGACCUGCCUUGCAGAGGGGGGAUAACGAGGGGAAACCUUCGCUAAUACCGCAUAGGCUUACACCGAUGGGAAUGGUGUGGGUAAAACUGAGGUGCUGCAAGAGGGGCCUGCGUCCGAUUAGCUAGUUGGUGAGGUAAUGGCUCACCAAGGCGAUGAUCGGUAGCUGGUCUGAGAGGACGAUCAGCCACACGGGAACUGAGAAACGGUCCCGACUCCUACGGGGGGCAGCAGUGAGGAAUAUUGGGCAAUGGACGAAAGUCUGACCCAGCAACGCCGCGUGGAGGAUGAAGGUUUUUGGAUUGUAAACUCCUUUUGUGGGGAAGAGUGAGGACGGUACCCCAAGAAUAAGUCACGGCUAACUACGUG